rnacentral:rRNA from 1 species
UACAGAGGGUGCGAGCGUUGUUCGGAAUUAUUGGGCGUAAAGGGCGCGUAGGCGGCGCCACAAGUCACUUGUGAAAACUCUGGGCUCAACUCAGAGCCUGCAAGCGAAACUGUGGUGCUGGAGUAUGGGAGAGGUGCGUGGAAUUCCCGGUGUAGCGGUGAAAUGCGUAGAUAUUGGGAGGAACACCAGUGGCGAAGGCGGCUCACUGGACCGGAACUGACGCUGAGGCGCGAAAGCGUGGGGAGCAAACAGG